AACAGAUCAAUCUAGCAAAUGAUAGGUUUAGCCAACUUCAACAAAUGAUUAUGACCCAACAGUAAUCUCUCACCAGGCUAGAAGCAUAAAUAGAUCAAUUAACUGAACCUACCAUGAGGAGAGAACUAGGUUAAUUGCCAAACGAACUAAUACUAAAUUUUAAAAAUGACACACCCAUCCACCAAUUACUUGGACCUAGUCAUCAAUCUAAUGUCUCACCUA
rnacentral:lncRNA from 1 species